CUACGGGGGGCGGCAGUGAGGAAUAUUGCACAAUGGGGGGAACCCUGAUGCAGCAACGCCGCGUGGAGGAUGGCGCAUUUCGGUGCGUAAACUCCUUUUAUAUGUCAAGAAAAUGACGGUAGCAUAUGAAUAAGCACCGGCUAACUCCGUGCCAGCAGCCGCGGUAAUACGGAGGGUGCAAGCGUUACUCGGAAUCACUGGGCGUAAAGGACGCGUAGGCGGGCUUGUAAGUCAGGAGUGAAAUCCUACAGCUUAACUGUAGAACUGCACUUGAAACUACGAGCCUAGAGUAUGGGAGGGGCAGACGGAAUUAGUGGUGUAGGGGUAAAAUCCGUAGAUAUCACUAGGAAUACCUAAAGCGAAGGCGAUCUGCUGGAACAUAACUGACGCUAAGGCGUGAAAGCGUGGGGAGCAAACAGGAUUAGAUACCCUUGUAGUC
rnacentral:rRNA from 1 species